GCUGUAAAACAAAUUAAAUCUCACAUGUAAGUACUAAAUUAUACAAGUAUACAUACACUUCAAGAAAAAUGGAUGAUAAUAUAGUUGAUGAACUUACUUUCAAGAUCAUGGCAUCUCCUUUUGGAACAUCCACGAACAUAUCUCCAGGGACAUGUUCCACCCCAGGGUAAGAAGGUGCUUGUGCCAAGGCACAAGUCAGAUCAAAGUUGAUACCCUUAAUAUUUGGAUACUUAGAAAUAACAACACCGAGUGUGUUACCAACCCCACCUCCAACAUCAACCAACACAUUCACAUCUUUAAAGCCUUGGUAAACUUCAAGAGCCUUCUUCACGACGGCAAUAGUGAAUCCGGUCUGGUUGAAGAGCUUGCUGAAUCUUUCAUCUGUUCCCAUAUAGUCGAAGAGUUUCAUGCCGCCAUGUGCACGACCAAACGCAUCUCCUCCUUCAAGCACCACAUCUUUCAAUUGUCCCCUGAGAAUAUAUAGUAUAUCAACAACGUAAGAUUCAUUGUGUUUUUUUUUCUUUUUGGAAAAUUUAUAAUUGUUAAAUAGAAAAUUACCAUGUACUGAGGAAGACACUGUCGAAGUUGACAAUGACUUGAGAAGCAAGGGAUCCAAUAUCUUGAAUGUUAUCUUUCAAGAAGAACCUGCAAAUUGGCUCGGCUCUGUAGACCCUCUCUCCCUUUCCGGCUUGGACCGUACCACACUUGACCAUGGAGUAACUAGCGAGUAGACGAAGCAUCCGGUCUAGCAGAAUCGGUGCUCCUGGGUUACGAGGUGUGGUUGGAAGUAGAUUUGAUAUCUCGGUAGGUGAGAGGAACACCGAAGCGGCGUAGAGAGUGUCAAAGACACCGAGCUCGAGGGCAGCUUUGAGAACCAUCGGAAAGGCGGCAGCGUUGGCUAUUCUCACGGCCAUCAAGCCCAACUCGUUAUCAUCAUCAAUAACAAUUUGGGUUUUGGUGUUAGCGCUUAAUGUUUCUUCAUUAAGGAUUCCCAUUUUUUAUUUUUCUCUGCUUUGUCACGGUACCGUAAGUGAUCGCACUGAUCAGAAGCGAGGGUGGAUGGAGAAUCUGGUGUGUAUGUGUGUUUUUUCUCUUCUGGAUGAUGAUUGGAUGGAUCUUAGUUUCUUCUUUUAUAGCAAAGGCUUAGCCUACUCUUUGUUAUUUAAUUUGAAUUAACAAUAUUGUAAUAUUGUUGGCGUGCCGGUCCAUUUGGCUGGCUAAUUAGUAUCCAAGAGCCACUUGUGGCGGCUGAAACAGUCAAAUCUUGUUUCAAGUCAGUUGGUUUUUAAGUCAAUGUUCAAAGGAGACUUUAAUUAAUCACUAUAGUCGACCAAGAGUACAUCUUCAUAUCUUAUAUUUUAUAUUUCUGAAAGAGUAAUAUAUCUAUUUUCUUUUACUUUUUUGUUCUUCAAUUUGAUCGACAUAAUAUUAUAAUACUUAGACCAUCUCCAAACUAGUUUUCUAUUUCUUCCUCUAAAAUAGAAAAACUCUAUAAUAUAGAUGGAUUUGUCUCUAAUGUAUUUUUUUAUUUUUUUUUCUCUAAAAGGAAUAUUCUUCAUAUAUUCUUUUCUAAUUUUAUAAAUAGUAUUUUUUAUUUGUGAAAGUUGAAAACCAAUCCAAUUUAGUUUAACAUUUCAAAAAAUAAUGAUAUUUUUACACUGAAUAUUAUUAUAGAAACUAUUAUGUAAAUAAAAAGUAUGAUUAUAUUUAUAUAAACAGUACAUUUCACUAAAAAAUAUUUAUUUUGGUUAUAAUUGUUAAAAUAAAAAGUUAAAAGAUUGUUUUGUGAAUAAAAAAUAAGCCUCUAUUGUACAGGAAUGCUAUUUCUUCCUCUAAAUAUAGAGGUGAAAAUAACAAUCUCUAUUUUAGAGGAGGAAAUGAAAUAGGAUUGAAGUAAUUUUGCUUCUAAAUGCUAUUAUAGAGGCAAAUAUAGAGUUAGGUUGGAGAUGCUCGUCACACUUAGCUGCUACGUGAUUAGAAUUUAGAAAGAUUGCGACAUAGGAGAGGCAAAGAGUGAUGCAUAAUUUGGACCUAAGUGAGUGUAAAUCGACCUUAAUGGCCUCCAUCAUGAUUCAUGAAUUGUCCUUCCAGGAAGGUCACAAGUUUUUGGAUUGUUACUUCAUUAAUCUUGGACUUUUAAAUAGCCGUAUAAUGGACCAGUUUAAGUAAAUUACAAAGGUGUUACGUCUCUGACCGAAAUUAUCAUUGUUUUUGCAUGGUUAUAUACGGGCGUAGGCGAGGCAAAAAGGCAAUGAGUGGUUAUGGAUAGGAACGUUGCUUAUUUCUUGUGCAAAAAGAUAAUUACUCAAAUAAAUGACAUAACAACAAAAUAAACUUUAUUUUUCAUUUUCUUCCAAAACCAUGCACGAACAUUGUAUUUAAUGGUUUUGGUUCUUUUUCAUAUAAACACAUCGCUAAUUAAUUCAUUAUGUAUACAAAUUACAUGCUAUGAACAUAGAAAUCAAUAUAAUAUGAGAUACGAUGACCUUCAUCCCCUUUUUCAACUGCAUCUUCGAAUUUCUUUAUUGAAUUUUAAAGGUAGUUAUGAUUCUCUUAUCGUUGUUUCUUUUGAAAGAUUUAUUUCUAUUCCAUCUCUACUUCGAUAAGAGGCUAUGGAUCUCUGUAAUAUUUUCUUAUGUAGUAAAUGCCUCCAUGAUAAUUAAAACACAACUUUCUUCAAAAUAUAAGACUCUUGUAGCAAAGUGCUGAAACAAAGAUGUUUUUUUAUUUCAUUGCUUUGGAGUCAAUGGCAAAGUCACACUCAAACAAGGAACUGAAACAAAGAUGAAAUCGACAAACUGUUGAAGAUUUAGUAUUAUAUACAACACAUUUUAUUUGCAAAACUCAAUAAUCCAGCAGUGGUAAGCUUGACAAACGAACUUGCAAUGAGUAAAGCCUGCUUCCAUGGCUAAAGCUUCAAACUCAGCUCGUGAUCUCUCUUUUCCCCCGGAACAUUGUGUGAACAUCAACAUGUCCAUAUCAAAGGCAAUGUUCGCAUUGAUAUCUCCAUUCUCAGCGUCAUCAGGAGUGACUAGUUCUAUGACAACAACUUUACCGUUCUCCGGUAGUGAUUUCCAGCAAUUCUUAAGAAUCUUAAUGCAAUCUUCGUCGGUCCAAUCAUGAAGUAUACGCUGAAAAACAAUUUAAAUCAACAAAGUAAAUACAGAAUACUAAUUAAAUACACACAAUUAAAAAAAAGAAGUUAUAAGAUAGUUGAUGAACUUACUUUCAAGAUCAUGGCAUCUCCUUUUGGAACAUCCACGAACAUAUCUCCAGGGACAUGUUCCACCCCAGGGUAAGAAGGUGCUUGUGCCAAGGCACAAGUCAGAUCAAAGUUGAUACCCUUAAUAUUUGGAUACUUAGAAGUAACAACACCAAGGGUGUUACCAACCCCACCUCCAACAUCAACCAACACAUUCACAUCUUUGAAGCCUUGGUAAACUUCAAGAGCC
rnacentral:lncRNA from 1 species